rnacentral:rRNA from 1 species
GAUGAACGCUGGCGGCGUGCCUAAUACAUGCAAGUCGAGCGAACAGACGAGUAGCUUGCUCCUCUGACGUUAGCGGCGGACGGGUUAGUAACACGUGGAUAACCUACCUAUAAGACUGGGAUAACUUCGGGAAACCGGAGCUAAUACCGGAUAAUAUAUUGAACCGCAUGGUUCAAUAGUGAAAGACGGUUUUGCUGUCACUUAUAGAUGGAUCCGCGCCGCAUUAGCUAGUUGGUAAGGUAACGGCUUACCAAGGCAACGAUGCGUAGCCGACCUGAGAGGGUGAUCAGCCACACUGGAACUGAGACACGGUCCAGACUCCUACGGGAGGCAGCAGUAGGGAAUCUUCCGCAAUGGGCGAAAGCCUGACGGAGCAACGCCGCGUGAGUGAUGAAGGUCUUCGGAUCGUAAAACUCUGUUAUUAGGGAAGAACAAAUGUGUAAGUAACUAUGCACGUCUUGACGGUACCUAAUCAGAAAGCCACGGCUAACUACGUG